AGUGAACGCUGGCGGCAGGCCUAACACAUGCAAGUCGAGCGGCAGCGGGUCCCCGCGAGGGGAUGCCGGCGAGCGGCGGACGGGUGAGGAACACAUCGGAAUCUGCCUGGUUGUGGGGGAUAACGUAGGGAAACUUACGCUAAUACCGCAUGCGACCCUGAGUCGACGGACUGGGGGUGAAAGUGAGGGACCUUCGGGCCUCACGCGACCAGAUGAGCCGAUGUCGGGUUAGCAGUUGGCGGGGUAACGGCCCGCCAAGGCGACGAUCCGUAGCUGGUCUGAGAGGAUGAUCAGCCACACUGGGACUGAGACACGGCCCAGACUCCUACGGGGAGCAGCAGUGGGGAAUCUUGGACAAUGGGCGCAAGCCUGAUCCAGCCAUGCCG
rnacentral:rRNA from 1 species